rnacentral:rRNA from 1 species
UACGUAGGGGGCGAGCGUUGUCCGGAUUUAUUGGGCGUAAAGAGCUCGUAGGCGGCUGUUCAAGUCGAACGUGAAAACUCGGAGCUCAACUCCGAGCCUGCGUUCGAUACUGGACGGCUAGAGUCUGGUAGGGGGACCUGGAAUUCCUGGUGUAGCGGUGGAAUGCGCAGAUAUCAGGAGGAACACCGGUGGCGAAGGCGGGUCUCUGGGCAGUAACUGACGCUGAGGAGCGAAAGCGUGGGGAGCGAACAGG